rnacentral:lncRNA from 1 species
ACACAACCCAUGUAAUACAUAAGGGAAAAGAUACAUAGUUGGCUUACAAUCGCCACUUCACACAAUUACAUGAAUAAAGCAUUACAUCAACCAAAUACAAUCAAGGUCCGACUACGGAACCAAAAUAAAAGAAGAACCCCAAAUGCGACAAGGUCCCCGAUCGACCCCAACUGGGCUCCACUACUGAUCAACUAGAACGAAACGACGCAAAGGACAAGAUCUUCAUCGAGCUCCUCCUGAGCUUGGUUGUGUCAUCUGCACGGACUCAUCGGCACCUGCAAGUUGGUUUUGGAAGUAUCUGUGAGUCACGGGGACUCAGCAAUCUCGCACCCUCGCGAUCAAGACUAUUUAAGCUUAUGGGUAAGGUAAAGGUAAGAGGUGGAGCUGCAGCAAGCGACUAGCAUAUAUGGUGGCUAACAUACGCAAAUGAGAGCGAGAAGAGAAGGCAAAGCACGGUCGAUAAAAGUAUGAUCAAGAAGUGAUCCUAAAACAACCUACGUCAAGCAUAACUCCAACACCGUGUUCACUUCCUGGACUUUGCCGGAAAGAGACCAUCACGGUAACACACGCGGUUGAUGCAUUUUAAUUAAGGUCAACUUCAGGUUUUCUACAACCGGACAUUAACAAAUUUCCAUCUGCCCAUAACCGCGGGCACGGCUUUCGAAAGUUCAAAUCCCUGCAGGGGUGUCCCAACUUAGCCCAUGACAAGCUCUCACGGUCAACGAAGGAAUAGACCUCCUCCCGAGAUGUUCCGAUCAGACUCGGUAUCCCGGUUCUUUAAGACAUUUCGACAAGUUAAAACAAAUCCAGCAACACCGUCCGAAUGUGCCGACAAAUCCCGAUAGGAGCUGCACAUAUCUCUUUCUCAGGGCACACUCAGAUUGUCCUAGGUACGGGUAGGCCAGCCCAGAGUUUCCCCUGGUGGCCACCGGCAGCUGACAGGUGGACCAACACUCAGAGGAGCACUGGCCCGGGGGGGUUAAAAUAAUGAUGACCCUUGAGUCUGCAGAACCCAAGGGAAAGAAAAGGCUAGGUGGCAAAUGGUAAAACCAAUGUUGGGCAUUGCUGGAGGAGUUUUACUCAAGGCGAACUGUCAAGGGGUUCCCAUAAUAGCCCAACCGCGUAAGGAACGCAAAAUCCGGGAACAUAACACCGAUAUGACGGAAACUAGGGCGGCAAGAGUGGAACAAAACACCAGGCAUAAGGCCGAGCCUUCCACCCUUUACCAAGUAUAUAGAUGCAUUAAUUAAAUAAGAUAUAUUGUGAUAUCCCAACAAGUAAACAUGUUCCAACAAGGAACAACAUCUCCAUGUUCCAACAAGGAACAAACUUCAAUCUUCACCUGCAACUAACAACGCUAUAAGAGGGGCUGAGCAAAGCGGUAACAUAGCCAAACAACGGUUUGCUAGGACAAGGUGGGUUAGAGGCUAGGUUCAACAAUAUGGGAGGCAUGAUAAGCAAGUGGUAGGUAUCGCAGCAUAGGCAUGGCAAAAAAGCGAGCAUCUAGCAAGCAAAGAUAGAAGUGAUUUCGAGGGUAUGAUCAUCUUGCCUGAAAUCCCGCAAGGAAGAAGAAACGAGUCCAUGAAGAAGACAAACGUACGUAGUCGAACGGAUCCUCACAAACGCAACGUUAUCGGAACCAACCCGAAGAAGCAACACCGGAAAGAAAGCAAACAAUAUAGUAAAACAACCAUCACAUAAUCAUGGCACGAAGCGCAAUCAAGUAUGAUGCAUGUUCGGUUUAAAGAGGCAUGGCAUGGCA